rnacentral:rRNA from 1 species
UUGUCGAGACGAACACAACGAGCGAUUUUGUGAACCUGUAAAAAUAAGCGGUGGCUCUUGCUGCUGCGAUAAAAUCCACCCGAGUCAUCGCCUCAUCCCCUCUUUGGGGUGGGGACGUGAUGAAGGAUGGAUGAACCCUCAAAUCGGCGCAGCGUUGCGCCAAGGGAAUCUUGAAGCACAAGCCCAUAAAUGGGUUUCGUGGGAUGGGGUGCUGUCGCACGCCAUAUUGAUUGACACGACUCUCGGCAAUGGAUAACUCGGCUCUCGCAUCGAUGAAGAGCGCAGCGAAAUGCGAUAUGUGGUGCGAAUUGCAGAAUCCCGCGAACCAUCGAGUCUUUGAACGCAAGUUGCGCCUGAGGCCAACCGGCUGAGGGCACGUCCGCCUGGGCGUCAAGCAUUUUAUCACUCCGUGCCUACUCUCCCAUCCAUGGAUGUGUUGCUAAGGCUCGGAUGUGCACGGUGGCUCGUCGUGCCCCUUGGUGCGGCGGGCUGAAGGGCGGGUCAUCUUCUCGUUGGCUGCCAACAAUAAGGGGUGGAUUAAAUAAGGCCUAUGCUAUUGUGUCAAGCGCGCCCGAGAGAUGGUCAUACUUUUUAGGUGAUCCCAAUUCAUGCGUUGAUCCAUGGAUGGCGUAUCGAAUGUGACCCCAGGAUGGGCGAGGCCA